rnacentral:lncRNA from 1 species
UAAUAAACACAGAAGCGCUUCGGUGUUUGACGCGUUGCUCUGCGAUUGAGCUGUUUGGGAAUUGCUGUGGAUAAUAAAUUGCUGGCUGUGGAGGCAGGGAUUGCUGGCAUGUCUCACAUCCAGCGCUCAGACAAUGUAGCAGCGUGUGCUGACAGCGGAGCGCGUCCCUGCUACACCUGCCCUGGAGUGCCACUUGGACAAGAGACUGGUUUGUCUCCUGCCUACACCCACACUGAAAUUGAAAUAAGAUGCCUAAUGGGUAGGCAGUGUGAGAAAUGUUAAGGAAGAGACAUCAUGGGUCACUGGAGAAAUUCCUGUAACAGGAUUUUGUGACGUGAGGAAGUAUAUACCCAUCAUCUGCCAUGCAUAACAAAAAUGGGAAGAUAAAAUUAACUAGUAAGACAUUGCUUUAUUCUCUCCUCUAUUUUUAAUAAUUUUUAAAUUGUCAUCCCAGGCUCUUCUGGCUUACACAUCAUAAAUUGUUAAAUAAAAUGAAGAAUAGCGUUAAUGUACA